ACCUGGGUGGCUCAGUCAGUAGAGCAUCUGACUCAUGAUCUCAGGGCUGUGAGUUCAAGCCCCACAUUAGGCA
rfam:Felis catus isolate Cinnamon breed Abyssinian chromosome B2, whole genome shotgun sequence.